UGUCAGUGUCAAUGGCAUAUGCAGGCAAGGGUCUCACUUCAAGCGGAAACGAGGCAGAAAAAUUGUUGGUGCUGAUAACGUAGAUGCUGCGGAGAUGUCGGUGUGCUGCAAUCAUCGGUCGGCGUGGCCCGUCGACUUUGGUGCACGCACAACCUUUUGAGGAAAAAGUGAGCCGCAGUCAGCGUCAUCUAUAGGCUUCAGUUUGUCUGUGUGUAUACGUCCAUUUCAACUGAGCAAGAAAUUGCCAUUAGGAGACUGCAGACAAACAUUUCCUGCUGCUGCCGCCACUGUUGCUGACGUCUAUAACUGCGCAUACAUAGUCCGCUGCCGUUGCUGCUAUCCUGGCGCAGGUCAGGUGGGCAGAACAGGGCCGAUUCCAUCUUGUGGCCGUCCACCGGGCAGAUAAUCGUCAUAAUCUCCAUCGCGCAGGCCCAUGUGACUGGCCAACGACCUGGCGAGAAAUACGGGCUCCGGAAAGUGCCAAUUGGAUUGUUCCGUGAGGUCAUUUCCUGCUACUGCUGCCGCUGUUGUUGUUGUUGCUGCUGCUGGGUGAAAUCAGCCGCCAAUUUAGGUGUACGAAGAAAAGCCAGGGCCAACAUGAGUCGAGUCCUGGAAUGCAUGCAAUUUGGCUAUUGCUGCAAUGAGAUCUCUCUGCUGCUGCCGCCACCGUUGCUAACGCUGUUGCUGAUGGAUGUGUCGAAGCCUAAUGGAUCUGCAUAUAUGAGGGCUAUUAGCAGUGCCGCCGCUCGCACCCAAGAGACGCCUCUGUUGCUGCUGCUGUUCCGAGAAAUGGAUGCGCCGCCGUUUCUAUAAGAAAGUUGUCGGGCUUCUGUUGUUGCUGUUUCUGGUCUUGCUGCUGCUGUUUCUGUUGACGCUGCCAUGGGAGGAGACGCUAGUGAGGCGCCAGAUGCAGUCCCGCGUCUUCAAAAAGAGAAGGCCGGCUUGCCAGGAGCGCUGACACUGCUACCACUGCCUUUGUGUCCCCAGCUGCUUCUACUGGAGAGGAAAUACCCAAAGUGCUGCUCCAACCAUAAGAUUUCCGACGACUUGCCGCUGCAUAAGCAUCCACUGGCGGAUACUCUGGUACUAGGCGCUCCAGUAUCCUAAAUCAGGACUUCCUUAGUCUGUCCUGACGUCUGUCCCGUCAGUCCUGAUGCGGUCAUCCUAUCAGUGGCGGGCGGGAAAGCAUGCGCCGCAGUCCAGUGUCAUAUACAGGAAAAAGCCGGUUGUCCAGGAGAGCAAUUUUUAUACCCUAGCUUGAGGGAGAAAAGGAAAUUAAUCCAUUCUUCUUUUUUCUUCCAGGGCGAAACAUCAGAGGCCAAGCGAGGAGUCUGGUCGUCGGAAUGUUGUCAAAUGGAAAAUGCUGCAUCCAAUUAAGUGCUGCUGCUGCCAAUAUUGCUGUUAUUGCUGCUGCUGGAGUUGGUGUGGCCGCCUCAAGGUACCGCUACCCUGUUGAAGAAAUGUUGCCACUGUCGUCAUUCCGAGGAUUGCAUGCGCCGCUGUUGCUGCAUUUCCAAACUGUUGCCACCGGGGGAUGGACUGCGCGUGGCUGCCAUGUUGCUGGUGACGCCCAUGUCCAGGCCCGCUGCCGUCUCCUGCCCAAUCAGUCCAGGCAGUCCCUGUGGACGCAUACCGCCACUCGGCAUCACAUCGCCAAAGGACCGAUUCUGGGAUUUACUCGGCCAAGCAUAGGCCGCCGAUCCCGAUGCCGCUGCCGUUGCUGCUACUGCUGCCGCUGGGGAAAGACCACGCCACGAGCUGAAGCAACCUCUCCUAAAAACGCCGAAUUUGCAACGCCGUCGCUGAGCUCGGAGCUGAGAGCGUCACAUUGGAGUUGGACCUUCAGAUUUCAGGAACUUCAGCUCCCUCUUUCAGGGCCUACAGGAGUGGUGGGUGUGGCCAGCGAGCUGUUCAGCACACCGCUUGGUCUCUGCCGCCAUUGUUGCUGGCCUUGCUGCUGUUGUUGUUGCUGCCUUGGUGAGCUAGAGCGCCCGAUGCGCUGUUGUUUUUACUGUAGAGGUUGGAGCGCCGGUGUGGCGUCCAUUACAGCAGCAGAUGGAUCCAUCAGGAGCCGAUGAGUCACAGAUCCCUCGGUUGGAAAGGAGAGAUGGAUUUUAAUCACGCCCGGAGAGAAGAUUUAUAUAAGCAGCCAUCCAGCCAUCGUAAUUUUGUUGUCCAGUAGGUGUUUAGUUAAGUUAAUUUUACCAUUAUAUCUAUAAGCGCAUUUCCCUUUUUUAUGUAACCUGUAAAUUAGCCUUUAGCCUUUUUGUA